rnacentral:rRNA from 1 species
GAUGAACGCUGGCGGCGUGCCUAAUACAUGCAAGUCGAGCGAACAGACGAGGAGCUUGCUCCUCUGACGUUAGCGGCGGACGGGUGAGUAACACGUGGGGAACCUACCUAUAAGACGGGGAUAACUUCGGGAAACCGGAGCUAAUACCGGAUAAAAUAUUGAACCGCAAGGUUCAAGAGUGAAAGACGGUUUUGCUGCAACUGAUAGAUGGAUCCACGCCGCAUUAGCUAGUUGGUAAGGUAACGGCUUACCAGGGCAACGAUCCGUAGCAGACCUGAGAGGUUGUCCGGCCACACUGGAACUGGGCCACGGUCCAGACUCCUACGGGAGGCAGCAGUGGGGAAUCUUCCGCAAUGGGCGAAAGCCUGACGGAGCACCGCCGCGUGAGUGAUGAAGGUCUUCGGAUCGUAAACCUCUUUUAUUGGGGAGGACCGUGUUUGUAAUUAACUACGCACGUCUUGACGUUACCUACUCAGAAAGCCACGGCUAACUACGUG